ACACAGAGAGUCAGGGCCAGCCAAAUGGAAAUUGUCUGCUCAUAGGAGAAGCCCCGGGGCCAUACUCUGAAAGAGGUAGCUUGGCGACAGACAAAUUUUCUAAGAGAGACAGUAUGGGGAGAAGAAAAGGCAAAGGUCCAAGACUCAAAAAAUGAAUGAAUGUUAAAACAUCAGAAGAGCAAGAUAAACGAGUUAAGAAGAUGGCACAGGAGCCGCAGAGAGGUGGAAGAUGGCUUGGAAGAGUGAAAACAGUUUUGCUGAGGACAGGUAAGGCUGAAGUAGGUGCAUCUGAGAAAAAGGGCAGAGACCUCCCCAAAGGUCAAACAGAAGCAAGGCAGCAGGCAGCAUUGCAGGGGAGGCAACUGCUGGGAAAGACACAGCAAGGAAGAGCUAUUAUGGGAUGCCUCUCUGUGAGGAGAGAUGAGGUGGGGAUGGUCCAUGAAGAUGAAUGACUGCUUCCUAAGACACUGUGGCGAGGAGGCUGUGGAAAGAUGGCAGCAGCAGACUGUGGAGAGAAGUCAAUUCACUGUGAGUGGUCAGACAAUACCUGAACCAAGAAGACACAUGGGACAACCUCUUGGGAACAGAAAGUUCAGAAAAGGGCUAAGAAAUAGGAUGGAGAUAGGGAUACUCAAUGAUCUAGUCAUAAGGGAUCAAAAUGGGAAUGCAAUUAGGAAGUAGAAGGCCUGAGAUAGACAGCAGCCACUGGGAUUGGAAGCAAUUUUAGGAUGAUUUCCCAAAGGGUAGAGAUGUUCCAACAAUAGCUUGAUGAUAAAUUUUGUAUUUUUUCAGGGCAGCUUGGCACUUCCCCAGGUAAUCCAUUCUCAGAGUUUCUGUUCAAUCAAAAACUGUAGCUUCUUUGGUUUAGGAGUUUCCUGAGCCUGUCUCAGGGCAAUAACGCCUUCUGGGUUAACUGGAGACUUCGUCAGAGACAGAUGGGAGCUAACUCCAAAGAGUCAUCAUGAUAACUGCGGUUGUUCAGAUUCUUUAUUUCUGGGCAUCACAUAGAAUUUAGAUUGGGACUCCUUUUCUAUCUAACUGAGGGAUGGGAAUCAUAAUUGCAUAUUUAAUUUUGUCAUUAGAA
rnacentral:lncRNA from 1 species